GUUCGCAUCCAUGCUACAGACAGAAUACAGUUUAUGGAAGAGUAAAUGAAGAUGGUAGUCCAAUAAUUCCUGGCCUUGUAAGAGAAAAUAAUAGAACCACCAGUGUUUUUACGUUGCAUGGAAGACUUCUCUUUUACCAGGAAUGUUAUGCUAGAUCUGGACUUUUCACGGUUAUAAGACGGAAUAACGGUACACACGAUUUAUACUCAUGCGGUAAAACUGUUGUCACAAAUGGAUUUCCAGACGUGAUAGCGUCAUUUGUCACAGAUUUGAAGAUUUUUCAGAAACCUCCUACGAUAUGUGAUGUAUGUGAUGGUAAUUUCAUUCCG